GCGAGGGACGUGGGAGGGGCGGCGCUGCGUCGCGGCUACGGGGAGGGGGAUGGCGGUUUGCGGGGUCACGGUCGGCCCCGAGGCCCGAGAGGGUUCGGUCCCGAGCAGCCGUUGGCGUCGGGCGCCCUGCCCGCGCUUCCCUAGGGACUCGCGGAGAGGUGCAGCCGCGCCCGGUGAAGCAGGUGCCCGGCCCGUAGGAGCAGCGGGCGUCCGGCUCCAGCGGCUCCAGCGAGCCCCGAACCCAGGGAAUCCCAAGGCAGGCAGGCAGCUGCACCCCAGGAGGCUCACAGCAGCUGGGAGUGGAGGGGCUGGAGGUCAUCCGGACAUCUUGGAGGUCAUCUGGGCUCCUAGCAUCCGGACCUCGUCCAGCCCUGCUUGCGACCCACAGACCCAGAUCGAUACGGCCUCGAAGAUGCAGCUCCCAGGGAUUAAGCAUCCAAGGCUUGAGACCUGAGCGGGUUUAAAGGCCACAAAGGGACUGAAUCAAGAUAGCAGCCUGUGCGAUUCCUAGCAGCCACCUCUCCUGUCCUCAAUCCCUGGAAAUGACACAGUAAAAAAAAAAAAAAAAAAA